UAUGAAGGGGGCUAGCGUUGCUCGGAAUCGCUGGGCGUAAAGGGUGCGUAGGCGGGUCUUUAAGUCAGGGGUGAAAUCCUGGAGCUCAACUCCAGAACUGCCUUUGAUACUGAGGAUCUUGAGUUCGGGAGAGGUGAGUGGAACUGCGAGUGUAGAGGUGAAAUUCGUAGAUAUUCGCAAGAACACCAGUGGCGAAGGCGGCUCACUGGCCCGAUACUGACGCUGAGGCACGAAAGCGUGGGGAGCAAGCAGG
rnacentral:rRNA from 1 species